GGGUCCUUAGCUCAGCCCGGUAGAGCAACGGUCUCCAAAACCGUGGGUCGUAGGUUCGAAUCCUUCAGGGCCCGCCA
rnacentral:tRNA from 1 species